ACGCUCGACACCUACGGGAGCCAGUAGUGGGGGAAUAUUGCACAAUGGGGGAAACCCUGAUGCAGCGACGCCGCGUGAGCGAAGAAGUAUUUCGGUAUGUAAAGCUCUAUCAGCAGGGAAGAAACUGACGGUACCUGACUAAGAAGCACCGGCUAAAUACGUGCCAGUAGCCGCGGUAAUCUGAGCGGGCUGGCAAGGC
rnacentral:rRNA from 1 species